UACGGGGGGAGCAAGCGUUGUUCGGAUUUACUGGGCGUAAAGGGCGCGUAGGCGGUCGUGACAAGUCACUUGUGAAAUCUCCGGGCUUAACUCGGAACGGUCAAGUGAUACUGUCGGACUAGAGUACAGAAGGGGCAACUGGAAUUCUCGGUGUAGCGGUGAAAUGCGUAGAUAUCAGGAAGAACACCGGUGGCGAAAGCGCUCUGCUAGGCCGCAACUGACACUGAGGGACGAAAGCUAGGGGAGCGAAUGGG
rnacentral:rRNA from 1 species